GACUCAGUAGUGUACUGGUUCAGCACGGCAGACCGGAUAUCUGUAAGUGCGGGUUCGAGUCCCGCCUGAGGUU
rfam:Dictyocaulus viviparus strain HannoverDv2000 D_viviparus-1.0_Cont424.12, whole genome shotgun sequence.